AUUGAACGCUGGCGGCAUGCCUUACACAUGCAAGUCGAACGGCAGCACGGGAGCAAUCCUGGUGGCGAGUGGCGAACGGGUGAGUAAUAUAUCGGAACGUGCCCAGUCGUGGGGAGUAACGUAGAGAAAUUAACGUCUAAUACCGCAUACGAUCUAAGGAUGAAAGACGGGGGACGUCGCAAGGGCCGUCGCGCGAUUGGAGCGGCUGAUAUCAGAUUAGGNGUUGGUGAGGU
rnacentral:rRNA from 1 species